GAAGAGGAUGGGCAUGCGGCGCAUUAGCUUGACGGCGGGGUAACGGCCCACCGUGGCGACGAUGCGUAGGGGUUCUGAGAGGAAGGUCCCCCACACUGGUACUGAGACACGGACCAGACUCCUACGGGAGGCAGCAGUGAGGAAUAUUGGUCAAUGGGAGAGAUCCUGAACCAGCCAAGCCGCGUGAGGGAAGACGGCCCUAUGGGUUGUAAACCUCUUUUGUCGGAGAACAAAACCCGGGACGUGUCCCGGACUGCGUGUAUCCGAAGAAAAAGCAUCGGCUAACUCCGUGCCAGCAGCCGCGGUAAUACGGAGGAUGCGAGCGUUAUCCGGAUUUAUUGGGUUUAAAGGGUGCGUAGGCGGUCUGUUAAGUCAGCGGUAAAAUUGCGGGGCUCAACCCCGUCGAGCCGUUGAAACUGGCAGACUUGAGUUGGCGAGAAGUACGCGGAAUGCGCGGUGUAGCGGUGAAAUGCAUAGAUAUCGCGCAGAACUCCGAUUGCGAAGGCAGCGUACCGGCGCCAGACUGACGCUGAGGCACGAAAGCGUGGGGAUCGAACAGGAUUAGAUACCCUGGUAGUCCACGCAGUAAACGAUGAAUGCUGGUUGUCCGGGUCGAAUGAGACCUGGGCGGCGA
rnacentral:rRNA from 1 species